AACAGCGAAAGAUGAAACUGUAGAAGAACCUGUAGAGAAAAGGAUAGGAAAGUUUUAGAUGAUGAUCAAACUGCGGAAGAAUCUCAUUUUGGGACCACUUCCUUCAUUCUCACCUCAUUUAUGAUGAUCAAACAAAAUGAGAUCAUCACUAUCAAUAUCACGGUUCCUAGAUCUUUCUAGCUUUUGAAUGCAAUUUAGCGUUGAUUGCCUCUUCAGACAUCUUCAUGGUCGGCUUCUUCCUCUUCCCAGAAGUGCAGACAGGGCAAGCCGGGUAGUAUAAGUUGAUCUGUGGUGUCAUUAUUCCAAGCACUCAGCAUGUUAACCAAGUCCACAAGUCAAAGCAGCAACCACACCAAGUUCAUUGGUAGCUAUUAUUUUCAUGAUGCCCAACGAGGAUCUUUCGGUUAAAAGCUUUGCACAAACACCACAACUUCGGAGAUUAAAAGAAGGAGAUCCUAAAUUUCGUCCAACAUAUCUAGUUAUUUUGCCCCAACUGAAGCCAAAGUUUUCACUAUCCAAAAACCAUCUCUUUUUCCGAGUUGUCAUAAGCUCAGAGAAUGGAGGAAUUGACAAACCAUCAGAUGACCCACCCUUCGAUCCUCUUGUUGAUUCAUAGCCCCAAGUAGGGAGAACAAAAGAAGAUGCUUUUUUAGAAAUUAAGAAUAUACGCGACUUGUAUUUUGUAAUUGAGUUGUCAGAUACUUGUCGUAACGGUUGCUGUCUAGGAGAAUGGGGACUCCACCUAGAAGGGGUUGACUUUGGAGGAAACGGGUGACUGUGGGAUGAUAAAG
rnacentral:lncRNA from 1 species